rnacentral:rRNA from 1 species
CCUACGGGAGACAGCAGUGAGGAAUAUUGGUCAAUGGCCGGAAGGCUGAACCAGCCAUGCCGCGUGAAGGUCAGUGCCCUAUGGGCGUUAAACUUCUUUUGUGCGGGAGCAAUACUGGUCACGUGUGGCCAGACGAGAGUACCGUACGAAUAAGCAUCGGCUAACUCCGUGCCAGCAGCCGCGGUAAUACGGGGGAUGCAAGCGUUAUCCGGAUUUAUUGGGUUUAAAGGGUGCGUAGGCUGUGAGGUAAGUCAGCGGUGAAAUGCCCCCGCCCAACGGGGUGAAGUGCCAUUGAUACUGCCUGGCUGGAAUGCGGAUGCGGUGGGAGGAAUGUGUGGUGUAGCGGUGAAAUGCAUAGAUAUCACACAGAACACCGAUUGCGAAGGCAUCUCACGAAUCCGCGAUUGACGCUGAUGCACGAAAGCGUGGGUAUCAAACAGGAUUAGAUACCCCGGUAGUC